rnacentral:rRNA from 1 species
AGUGAACGCUGGCGGUAGGCCUAACACAUGCCAGUCGAACGGCCGCACAGUAAGAGCUUGCUCUUACGGGUGGCGAGUGGCGGACGGGUGAGGCAUACAUAGGAAUCUACUUUUUCGUGGGGGAUAACGUAGGAAAACUUCCGCUAAUACCGCAUAUGACCUACGGGUUAAAGCAGGGGAUCUUCGCACUUUUCGCGUCUGAAUGAGACGAUGUCGGAUUAGCUAGUUGGCGAGGUAAAGGCCCACCAAGGCGACGAUCCGUAGCUGAUCUGAGAGGAUGAUCGGCCACACUGGAACUGAGACACGGUCCAGACUCCUACGGGAGGCAGCAGUAGGGAAUAUUGGACAAUGGGCGCAAGCCUGAUGCAGCCAUACCGCGUGAGUGAUGAAGGUCUUCGGGUUGUAAAACUCUGUUGUUGGGAAAGAAAAGCAGCAUAUGAAUACCCCGCUGUUCUGACGGUACCCAAAGAGUAAGCAACGGCUAACUACGUG